UACGAAGGGGGCGAGCGUUUGUUCGGAAUUACUGGGCGUAAAGGGCGCGUAGGCGGCCGAUCAAGUCAGAUGUGAAAGUCCUGGGCUUAACCUGGGGACUGCAUUUGAUACUGAUUGGCUUGAAUUUCGGGAGAGGAUAGCGGAAUUCCCAGUGUAGAGGUGUAAAUUCGUAGAUAUUGGGAAGAACACCGGUGGCGAAGGCGGCUAUCUGGACCGA
rnacentral:rRNA from 1 species